rnacentral:rRNA from 1 species
UCAGGCCUAACACAUGCAAGUCGAACGGUAACGCGGGGCAACCUGGCGAUGAGUGGCGAACGGGUGAGUAAUGUAUCGGAACGUGCCCAGUUGUGGGGGAUAAGUGCUCGAAAGAGCAGCUAAUACAGCAUACGACCUGAGGGUGAAAGCGGGGGAUCGCAAGACCUCGCGCAAUUGGAGCGGCCGAUAUCAGAUUAGGUAGUUGGUGGGGUAAAGGCUCACCAAGCCAAGCGAUCUGUAGCUGGUCUGAGAGGACGACCAUCCACACCGGGAGUGAGACACGGCCCACCCUCCUCCGGGAGGCAGCAGCGGGGAA